CCUACAUCUUGGGGGGGUCUCCUUCUCAAACCUGGGCCUGGGGGGGACGCAUUCUCAGAGCCUGGCCUGCCUACCUCCUGGACACCCAGCUGUGCCCUCACGACACUGACCCCUUGCCCCUCCCUGUGUCACCAAGGCUCAUCCUGGUCCUGCCCCAUCUCUGAACUUCUGCCAAGAGGGCAGCGAUGUGGCUCCCCUGCUGGGCAGGACGGGCAUCAGUGUCCGGGGCGACUAGACCAAGAGACUGAGAAGCCGGAGGGCAGCUCGCCAGGCUCGGGGCUCGGCCUCCGAUCCCAGGGGCUGGUGGUGGCUCCCGGGGCCAGGCCACGGGGACCAGGAGGCCACAACCUCCCCAGGGCUCCUGGGAGCACCUCCACAGGGUAGAAGGGCCCUUCUGCCUCCCUCGGGACACUGGCCAGGGCGCCCCUACCCCCUGGGGACCUUCCCCGGCUCCCACCGCCACCCAGAGCUCGCCUCUCGCUCAUUUUCCCCAUGACCCUUUGGGUCCCCUCUGCCCGCUCCAGAUGGGCCACCAGGAUGGGAACAGCAAGGGCCAGGCCGAGGUCCACACGGCAGGGGAGGUCCUGUUGGGGCAGGACUGUCCCCCAGGGUGCUCCCGAUUCAGAACAGCAGCCCUCAAAGAAGCCGCGUGCGGCUCGUCAGGGACGCCCGCUGGGGUCUCCAGGUGGAGGCCUGGGGACCCCGACAGGCAACUUUCCACCCGCGCCUGCCCCCCGGGCGCGCUAGAGGGCCUGAGCUAGAGGGCGUGCGCAGGGGCAG
rnacentral:lncRNA from 1 species